CUUGGCCUCUUCGGCCGCUCGUGCGGACGUCGUCGGGUCACCCGUGGGUGACAGCUGAGGCCAGGCUGCUUCUCCUUGCAGCUGCUCUGCAGAACAAGGUCCCAAAUCUGCAAAACGGUACAGCAGGCAGCGAGUACUGGCAAGGGCAGAGAGACUGUCUCCCUCACACAUCACUGCUGAGAAUGUGAGAUGGUGGAAUUUCCUCUAAACACAAAGUUACGAAGAGUGAUGAAGAUGGCCAACCAGGCAAAAACUUGCCCACUGAGUGCAUUUUUUUUCAUAAUGAAAAUGUAUAAACAAAAAUACACUUCACUGUCCAAUAAAAAUAAUGGUCUGCUGUA